UGUGGGAGCGAGCUUGCUCGCGAUAGCGAUAUAACAGUCACCUCAAUGGCGACUGUCCUGGCCUCAUCGCGAGCAAGCUCGCUCCCACA
rnacentral:ncRNA from 4 species